AUGGGAUUGCCUCGUGUUGCAGUCUUGGGUGGUUCAUUUCGACAGAGCAUCUGCAACGUGGGCUUGUUAAUGAACCUGCAGUGUGAUGGCAGAGCAGUGGAUGUGCAGAUAGACACCUCCUGCCAGCAUGAAUAUACACUCCAAGGGAUGCUCAGGCACUCACAUCCCUGGCUCAGCCAGCUUGGGCUGCCUUUUGAAAACUCUGUCCUGAUCUCUGCAGCCGCAGACUCCACCACAGAGGGCAUUUUCCUGCUGCAGGCUGGCAGAUGCAGACUGAGGGCUAGAGGGGAUCUCUGUGUUCAGAAUAAAGCUGACUGGACACUGGAAACAGAAACAGAAUGUCAACUUCUGCAGGAUCUCAAUUUCCCAACUCAGUCACGGCUCACAGGAUCCAUUCAGAAAGACAAGUGCCAGGCAGAGCUGUUCUCUGUUCUGGAAACAGAAGGCAAAACUGCCCGUCUUGAAGUGAGAGUAGAGUGCAAGCCAAAGAUGACUCUGGAAAUUCAAUUCAGGCAUGACCUCCCCCAGCUGAAGGAAAUCCCAAGGGAAAAUGAGCUGUCCAUCACUGCACGGAAACACUUAAAAUACCUUAUUGGAGUUGGAAUGAAAUUGGGUGCCUGUGAGCUUCAAAUGAAUGGGGACUUUGACCCUGAAAAGAGCCUUCAGUGGAAAAUGCUUAUAGAAAACAAAUGCCAAACAAUUCAGGAUCUUGGAGUACCAAUGAAAAUUGAUGGCUCAGGCUACCUUUUGAUGGAUAAAAUGAACCUAGAUUCACAGACCCUGAUCACUGUUGAUGAAAGUAAAUUCCGAGGACUCCUUAUACUAAAAGUCACUGAUGAAAAACAAGAGUUGGAUGCUGUGCUAACCCAUAACAUCCAAGAAGCUGCUGACAUUGGCAUUCCCAUGAGGAUGUUACUUGAUGUGAUAUCAGAAAAAAACAGUGACUUCUAUAAAGGAUUUAUUAAUUUCUGUGUGAACAACAAACAAAUUACAGAAGAACUGAACUUUGUCCAGAAGUUGGAUGUUGUGUCUCUUAACUACAAGCUUACUCAUAACAUAGAGACAUUGAAGACUUUGCAAAUAAAAGACAGGAUUGAGUUGCAGGCUAUCUUGAACGUAAAAGUCACUAGAAGCUUUAGUUUGAAAGUGCUUUAUGGUGCUCACCUAAUAGUUCUUGAAGGACAAAUCCAGAAGUUUGAAACAAGUACCAACAUAACAGGGAAUUUCCAUCACUCUUUGCCAUGGCUGCUACAAGCCAGAGUCCCAUCAUCUUUACAGAUAGAUGUGGUUUUUCAAGGGAGAAACACUACUCAAGAGAGAUAUGUGCACAUUGCAGCUGGAGAAACAUCAAUCACAUACAUAAUUAACUCCUAUUAUGUUGGCCACCAAGUGGAUCUCUUCUGCCAGAGUGUGCACAGCAGUGAGGUACUCCAGGCAUCUGGUUAUCCUAAGGCAAUCAGCUUGAUUUUCAGUUUCCAGAAAUCAGAAAACAAAGCCAAGACUGCCUGUGAAAUCCAAUAUGAUGAGAAAGAUGUAACUGUGACUGUGGAUGUUGACACAGACUUUGAACUCUUUGGUAUAUUUGUGUUCAUGGCAGAGGUGAAGCAUUCCAUAUCACUUCUCCAUCACCUGGGACUUCCCUUCUUUCUUAAGGUAAUGCACCACAGAACUUUUGCUGUUUUUUGAUGAAAGCUGUCACUUGAGCUACAUUUGCAUUAAUCCAGAGCACUGCCAGUGGCCUCAGUGAAAUGAAUCCAGGUUUAUAUACAAAUGCAGCUGAGAGCUGACUUGGCCCAGUUUAUCUGAAUCCUCUUUGACUUACGUACAGAGCUAGUGGUCUGUUUCCAAGGAAUGUGGUCAGGUACCUGAAAUCCCCAGUUUCAGGGUUAAUAAUUUCAGGAAGGCACGUACUUACUGUCAUUUUGCAGCUGAUAGGGCUCACAAAAGUAGAAAGAGCUUUUGGUAGAAAACAGCUGUCCUUCAUUCCUAGAGAACUCCUUGGCUUGGUUAAACCAAUUCUAGCACAAAUUCCUAAAAUGCGUCAGUGUUGAAUAAACAGAAGUAGAUUUAUAUUCCA
ensembl:lncRNA